AGGACACAAGUUUUAUUUUAUACAUUUACAAAAUAUAUAAUUUAUUUUAAAAAAUUUGUAUGAUUUGCAUUUUUAUGCUAUAAUAUUUGUGAUUUUAUGUGAAACUAUUAUAAACAGGUGUCACUCAAGUGAAUUAAAUGAUGUAGAUAAUGACUGAAUCCUACUCUAUGGACCCUUAGUCUCUGUAUAAGAGGAUUUCACUGGAGAUGAAGUAAUAGAUUUAAACUCUAUGUAGAGCGCUCUCUCGUGGCUCCACCCACCACACACGUUCGAACCAAUCAUAUUAUCCUCCCUGGCGUCCAUGGGCGUGGCUAACCGCGUCUGUCUGUUAAAGGUAGCAGGUUGUACAUGGCGAGCGGGUUACUCACUGAGGACUGGUGAUUGGUGUAAUGGAAGCCGUCUCUGAACCGCAUUUAAUGACGGAGAAUUACAGAAUUGGAGAGAAAACGCAGCACUGAGCAACUUGUAGACUUAACACCCGACUGUAGAAUCCCUUCUAUUGUGUGCUGGAAGAUCGCUGGACUUGAAGCAACUCCAAAUGGUGGCCUGUUUGUCCAAAGCCCAGGCUGACCCCCCACCCCUUCAACCUUUGCAGCAAUGCUGGCAGCACUAUUUCCCAAAGACAACCUCUGGAUAUGACGCUGAGCACGUGCACUCAACUUCUUCUUUGGUCGACCAUGGCGAGGCCUGUUCUGAGUGGAACCUGUCCUGUUAAACCGCUGUAUGGUCUUGGCCACCGUGCUGCAGCUCAGUGUCAGGGUCUUGGUAAUCUUCUUAAAGCCUAGGCCAUUUUUAUGUAGAGCAAGAAUUCUUUUUUUUCACAUCCUCAGAGAGUUCUUUGCCUUGAGGUGCCAUGUCGAACUUCCAGUGACCAGUAUGAGGGAGUGUGAGAGUGAUGACACCAAAUUUUACACACCUGCUCCCCAUUCACACCUGAGACCUUGUAACACUAACAAGUCACAUGACACC